UUAUGGUGGUCUUAUCUUUAACAUUAUAUACAUAUAUAUAUAAAAUAUAGAACUAUUAUAUUUUCAGAAGUAUAAAAGAGUCGAUGGUUUUCACUUUUUUAUCCUGAAUUAAAAAUUAUGGGAUUGAAAUGAUAGUCAGAUAUAGGAUUUAGUGGUAUUUCAAGAAAAUUAAUAUUAAUCUAAGGACCAGAAAUCAUCAAAAGGUUGAUACAAGAAUAAAAAAAGUCGAAAACAUUAACUCUUUUAUACUUCCGAAAAUCAGACUCUUAUAUGUAAUACUUAUUUGUUUGUUCGUAAAUAAUUUUCAUAUGAAGAGUAAAAAUUACUUUAACUAAAAUUUAGGUGAAAAAUAAUUUGUUAUUUCUGUUUGUUGGAUAGAAAAUCAAUAAUUUCAUAACCGUAAUUAUUUCCUUUUCUAUUUAUUUUAUUAAAAAUUUUCACACUAAUGUAUAAAAUGACAAAAAGUCACAGUAAAUAUUUUUUUUUGUUUUUUUAUUUUUUUUUUGAAAUUAAAUUCAAUAUUAAUCAGAAUAAAGUCAGUGAUAAAAUAGAUAUUUAUAGAUAAAAUUAAAAAAUUAAUUGUGCAUUUUCCAUCUCAUCGUAUUCAAGGGAUCUCUUGCGACAUAUAAUCAAAUCCUCAUCAAAAAAAUCUUUUUUUUUCUUUUUUUUCUUUUUUUCUUUCUCUCUCUUU
rnacentral:lncRNA from 1 species